rnacentral:lncRNA from 1 species
CAUCAGAAUGAAUAAAAACGAAUUUAUUGUGAGGGGCAAGGAUCUCAGAUUGAGGUGGGAAGAGACCCAGGCAGACGCAGACCACAUCUGAAGGCGCAGAGUAUGCCAGGGAAAAGCUGCAGUCCUUACAUCAGCCGGGUCUGCCCACGGCCAAGAACAGCGGGAAAGAAGACAGGCAGGCAAGGAGAAAAGAAGAACGAAUGCUGUGGGCAAAGAACAAAGUAAGCGGGGAGAAUUUUGAUUAAGCAAGAAAAGGAAACUUUGCAACAGAAUUAAGGAAAAAGAGAGAAAUGAAGAGAGAAAGGGGAUGAAAAAAGGCAAGGAGGAGACAAGAAACGUUCACAAGACAAUAGUAAACCAAUAAAUAAAAUUGUUAAGAACAGCGAGUGGGGUGGAGGAGGGAGAAAUUAUAUUCAGUAUCUAAAGAAACAACAGCAGCCGUUCCCGAGAGGGACCGACCCCAUCCCCCCCCCCCCCCCCGCGAGCGCCGCACCCCGCGCGGGGACCGGGCCCCGGAUUCCGGCGUCUGCGCGGGGAUCGUAGCUACGGCCCCCGAGUUGAGCCACGCGUGAUCCCGGAAGGGUCUGCCAGGAGUUUUUAUGAGACCUAGGGGGACGAGUGCUGGAAAUUUGAUGGGUUGGGGCGCAGGUCGAGAAGUGGUGAAGACAGUGCUCUUCCCCGGAACCUCAGCGUGCGGAGGCCUGGGAAUCCAGUCGCUCCCAGACGAGCUGUACACCAGGACUGAGAGGCUUUGCCCUCAAUCCUACCCAAUUCCAGAAGAGCGCUUGCUGGGUCCUCCUGAGGCUACAGAGUGAACAAAUGGUGUUGUCUGCUUUCAACCUGCGAGCAUGUGGACUAGGCACAGGAAACUUGGUAGGUUUCAAACUCUCAGAGCCUUGGUUAUGACACUGACCCGUGCCUUCUCAAAGCUGCACUCCUUCUCAAAGCUGUCACUCC